rnacentral:rRNA from 1 species
UACGGAGAGUGCAAGCGUUGUCCGGAUUUAUUGGGUUUAAAGGGUGCGUAGGCGGCCCGUUAAGUCAGUGGUGAAAGCCUCCAGCUCAACUGGAGAACUGCCAUUGAUACUGGCGGGCUUGAGUACAGACGAGGUAGGCGGAAUUGAUUGUGUAGCGGUGAAAUGCAUAGAUACAAUCAAGAACACCGAUUGCGUAGGCAGCUUACUAGGCUGUAACUGACGCUGAGGCACGAAAGCGUGGGGAGCGAACAGG